rnacentral:rRNA from 1 species
AUUCUAAAUGGAGAUUUCAGCAUAGUCACGCGUGAGGAUGAGCGCAGUACAGGGAGAGCUAACAGAAGGUUGAUGAAUAAGUUCAGACACACAAUCAACAAGCUGGGCCUGCAUGACAUGCCUCUGGUGGGUAGAAGGUUUACUUGGUGUAAUGGGCAGGAAAGAACCAUUAUGGCCAAAUUGGACAGAGUUUUG